rnacentral:rRNA from 1 species
UACGGGGGGGGCAAGCGUUGUUCGGAAUUACUGGGCGUAAAGGGCUCGUAGGCGGCCAACUAAGUCAGACGUGAAAUCCCUCGGCUUAACCGGAGAAUUGCCUGGGAUACUGGUGGUCUUGAGGGAGGUAGGGGCACGCGGAACUUCCGGUGGAGCGGUGAAAUGCGUUGAUAUCGGAAGGAACGCCGGUGGCGAAAGCGGCGUGCUGGCCCUCUUCUGACGCUGAGGCGCGAAAGCCAGGGGAGCGAACGGG